rnacentral:rRNA from 1 species
AGCAGCCGCGGUAAUUCCAGCUCCAAUAGCGUAUAUUAAAGUUGUUGCAGUUAAAAGCUCGUAGUUGAAUUUCGGGAUCAGUUCGCUGGUCGUGCCUUGGUAUGUACUGGUGUUACUGGUUCCUACCUUCUGACGAACCGUCAUGUCAUUAAUUUGGUGUGGCGGGGAAUCAGGACUGUUACCUUGAAAAAUUAGAGUGUUUAAAGCAGGCUCGCGCUUGAAUACAUUAGCAUGGAAUAAUGAAAUAGGACGUUCGAUCCUACUUUGUUGGUUUCUAGGAUUGACGUAAUGAUUAAUAGGGAUAGUUGGGGGCAUUAGUAUUCAAUUGUCAGAGGUGAAAUUCUUGGAUUUAUUGAAGACUAACUACUGCGAAAAGCAUUUGCCAAGGAUGUUUUCAUUAAUCAAGAACGAAGUUAGGGGAUCGAAGACGAUCAGAUACCGUCGUAGUCUUAACCAUAAAACUAUGCCGACUAGGGAUCGGAUGAUGUUAAUUUUUUAAUGACUCAUUCGGCGCCUUAUC